rnacentral:rRNA from 1 species
UACAGAGGGGGCUAGCGUUGUUCGGAAUUACUGGGCGUAAAGGGCGCGUAGGUGGCCUGUUAAGUCGAACGUGAAAUCCCCGGGCUCAACCCGGGAACUGCGUCCGAGACUGGCAGGCUCGAAUCCGGGAGAGGGAUGCAGAAUUCCAGGUGUAGCGGUGAAAUGCGUAGAUAUCUGGAGGAAUACCGGUGGCGAAGGCGGCAUCCUGGACCGGCAUUGACGCUGAGGAGCGAAAGCCAGGGGAGCAAACGGG